UCCUCACAUUCACCGGCCCAGGUCGACACGCUGCCCGGCAUUGGCGUGCUUCUCUCCCGCUGCCACGAGAGGACAAGCGGUGGGAGGUCGGUGCAAGUUCACCGGCCAAUUCCGCAACCCUCGCUCUCCAACCAUUGCAAACAAAUCACCGCUUAUCUGUGGAUACUAUCAGGGCCUCCACGAAUCAUCAAUGUCGCCUAAAAGCGGGGGAGAUGCACCGUGUACGCCACUCCAUCGCCGCUUUGUCCUCGGGAAGAACAUCAACACUGAGCAGUUUGCUAAAAAAGAAGCCUGCCCUACCUUUCGCCCCAACGCCGUCCCGGAGUAGAAGUAGUAGGCUAUUCCCAGCACCCACAGCACCGCAAAACAUAACAAUAUCCUCGAUUUCCUCCGCAUGGCUCCCUCUUUCUCCUGUUGUAGUUCGCCUGCCGACUGUUCAGUGGCUCAGCUCAGCUCUCGGGGUUCGCUGGUGACGACUCGUCCCGGUAUCCUGUCCGCACUGGGCGCUUCGCCGAGCGGCUUCGGCAGGCGUAGUCGUUAGGUGGGUCGGUCGGUUCCUUAGGAGGGAGGCGGGGGGCAGGAAGCAGCUAGCCAAAAAUCAAAGGGGUUAGAGGGCAAAGGCUAACUCGCUUUAAUCCAAUCAAACAUUGGAUAACGCCGUUCUGGAUGAGGGCUUGGUGCUGCAGUGCUAAAGUAGACAAAACUAUACUUACAUAAUAACUGAAAAGUCAAUACACGUAGUAAUUGUUUAGUUAGAGCAGCAGCAAGCGAAGAUGUGUGCUAUUCAUGCUACAGGCUGUGUUGCUAUACUAUGUAAGUACGCUAGGGGCGCGAGAGACAGCUUGAACCGGUUUAAAUGGGAGGAAACUAGCAGUUCUACAGUUUUUCAUCAGACUACUACAAUUUAAAAUCACCAGAGUCGUGUAUCAGCGUGGCACUGACACACCACAACAGCAGUCUCCUGAUUCGCCGUCGCCGCUGCGCGGCAACAAUGAAAUUCCCAGCGUGCAAGCAACCACCGGCUCCUGCUGUGGCUGGCGGCUGAUGACAACGACUCAAGCGGCACAUUUACCACCUUUUUAUUUGAUUUACGGCUAAAACAACUGCGGUCAUGGGGUUUUUUUUGCACCACUUGGUUUUGCACCCAAAACGGACUGGAUUUCAUUCGUUCAUAACAAAGUGGUGAGCUGGUAGGACUGUUUUUCUUCACUAUCAAAGGAUUAAGGAUCUCUUCCCAAGAGGGAAACCCCUGAACUGAACUGAUUAAUGAACUUUUACCAACGAGACCCAAGGAACUCUCAAACCCCAUCAAAGUAUUUGUUGUUUGUUGGUCUGGGGCUGAAUGAGUGCUGCGAGCACUCGGGAGCUGUGGUUCGUUGAGAGAAACUUGAAUAAUAUUGACACUUUGGACAAAAUUUAGAAAUGUUCACUGUGAGGUGUGCUCACUUGUGUUGCCAGCUAUUUUGCCAAUAAUGAUGGAUGAAAGUCUGUAUGUUGACCUAUUUCCAAUGUGUCUCUUGAGAAGACAAUAAAAUGGUUGCUGAAAUGAGAGGGGUGAAGUCACUUUAGUGAGAGACUGUCCGUAUAAAAACAGGAUUCACUUAGUCAUUUUGUCCAAGUAAUGCCAAGCUGCUUCAUGGAAACUUGAAUGUUUGUCGACAAGGCUAAAUUCCGUUUGACUUCAUAAAUGUUCAUCUUUUUAAAAAGCCACACUGACAGCGCACAUCAGAGUGUUAAAUGACUUAAACAGACACCUCUUACCCGCCUAUCUAUUCAUGUUUCUGCCUCUGUGUGCCUCCUCUUCUCAAUGUGUUAAUUCAGUUUCUGAAAAAUGCUGAGUCAAGCAGGCGUCACUUUAAAUAUGGACUGGUAGCAGAGCCAGACGUGACUC